rnacentral:rRNA from 1 species
GCUUGUCUCAAAGAUUAAGCCAUGCAUGUCUAAGUAUAACUCUUUUACUUUGAAAACUGCGAACGGCUCAUUAUAUCAGUUAUAGUUUCUUUGAUAGUCCCUUACUACUUGGAUACCCGUAGUAAUUCUAGAGCUAAUACAUGCAUCAAUACCCAACUGUUCGCGGAAGGGUAGUAUUUAUUAGGUAUAGACCAACCCUCUUCGGAGGUGCUUUGGUGAAUCACAGUAACUGAUCGAAUCGGCGCGCAAGCGGCGAUAAAUCAUUCAAGUUUCUGCCCUAUCAGCUUUCGAUGGUAGUGUAUUGGACUACCAUGGCAGUCACGGGUAACGGAGAAUUAGGGUUCGGUUCCGGAGAGGGAGCCUGAGAAACGGCUACCACAUCUAAGGAAGGCAGCAGG